AGUGAACGCUGGCGGUACGCCUAACACAUGCAAGUCGAACGGCAGCACAGUAAGAGCUUGCUCUUACGGGUGGCGAGUGGCGGACGGGUGAGGAAUACAUCGGAAUCUACUUUUUCGUGGGGGAUAACGUAGGGAAACUUACGCUAAUACCGCAUACGACCUACGGGUGAAAGCAGGGGAUCUUCGGACCUUGCGCGAUUGAAUGAGCCGAUGUCGGAUUAGCUAGUUGGCGGGGUAAAGGCCCACCAAGGCGACGAUCCGUAGCUGGUCUGAGAGGAUGAUCAGCCACACUGGGACUGAGACACGGUCCAGACUCCUACGGGAGGCAGCAGUGGGGAAUAUUGGACAAUGGGCGCAAGCCUGAUCCAGCCAUACCGCGUGGGUGAAGAAGGCCUUCGGGUUGUAAAGCCCUUUUGUUGGGAAAGAAAAGCAGCAGGUUAAUACCCCGCUGUUCUGACGGUACCCAAAGAAUAAGCACCGGCUAACUUCGUG
rnacentral:rRNA from 1 species